CUACGGGUGGCAGCAGUGGGGAAUAUUGGACAAUGGGCGAAAGCCUGAUCCAGCCAUGCCGCGUGUGUGAAGAAGGCCUUCGGGUUGUAAAGCACUUUCAGUGGGGAAGAAAGCCUUGGGGCUAAUACCCUCGAGGAAGGACAUCACCCACAGAAGAAGCACCGGCUAACUCCGUGCCAGCAGCCGCGGUAAUACGGAGGGUGCGAGCGUUAAUCGGAAUUACUGGGCGUAAAGCGCGCGUAGGCGGUCUGAUAAGCCGGUUGUGAAAGCCCCGGGCUCAACCUGGGAACGGCAUCCGGAACUGUCAGGCUAGAGUGCAGGAGAGGAAGGUAGAAUUCCCGGUGUAGCAGUGAAAUGCGUAGAGAUCGGGAGGAAUACCAGUGGCGAAGGCGGCCUUCUGGACUGACACUGACGCUGAGGUGCGAAAGCGUGGGUAGCAAACAGGAUUAGAUACCCUUGUAGUC
rnacentral:rRNA from 1 species